rnacentral:rRNA from 1 species
CUGUAAGCCGUUGAAGGUGGCCUGUGAGGGUUGCUGGAGGUAUCAGAAGUGCGAAUGCUGACAUAAGUAACGAUAAAGCGGGUGAAAAGCCCGCUCGCCGGAAGACCAAGGGUUCCUGUCCAACGUUAAUCGGGGCAGGGUGAGUCGACCCCUAAGGCGAGGCCGAAAGGCGUAGUCGAUGGGAAACAGGUUAAUAUUCCUGUACUCGGUGUUACUGCGAAGGGGGGACGGAGAAGGCUAUGUUAGCCGGGCGACGGUUGUCCCGGUUUAAGCAUGUAGGCGGAACGAUUAGGUAAAUCCGGUCGUUUAUUCAACGCUGAGGUGUGAUGACGAGGCACUACGGUGCUGAAGUAACAAAUGCCCUGCUUCCAGGAAAAGCCUCUAAGCAUCAGGUAACAACGAAUCGUACCCCAAACCGACACAGGUGGUCAGGUAGAGAAUACCAAGGCGCUUGAGAGAACUCGGGUGAAGGAACUAGGCAAAAUGGUGCCGUAACUUCG